GACGAACGCUGGCGGCGUGCCUAAUACAUGCAAGUCGAGCGAGACUCUUCGGAGUCUAGCGGCGGACGGGUGAGUAACACGUGGGCAACCUGCCUGUAAGACUGGGAUAACACCGGGAAACCGGUGCUAAUACCGGAUAAUCCUUUUCCUCACAUGAGGAAAAGCUGAAAGUCGGUUUCGGCUGACACUUACAGAUGGGCCCGCGGCGCAUUAGCUAGUUGGUGAGGUAACGGCUCACCAAGGCGACGAUGCGUAGCCGACCUGAGAGGGUGAUCGGCCACACUGGGACUGAGACACGGCCCAGACUCCGACGGGAGGCAGCAGUAGGGAAUCUUCCACAAUGGACGAAAGUCUGAUGGAGCAACGCCGCGUGAGCGAUGAAGGCCUUCGGGUCGUAAAGCUCUGUUGUUAGGGAAGAACAAGUACCGGAGUAACUGCCGGUAUCUUGACGGUACCUAACCAGAAAGCCACGGCUAACUACGUGCCAGCCGCCGCGGUAAUAC
rnacentral:rRNA from 1 species